rnacentral:rRNA from 1 species
UACGUAGGGAGCGAGCGUUGUCCGGAUUUACUGGGUGUAAAGGGUGCGUAGGCGGCGCCGCAAGUCAGGUGUGAAAACUAUCGGCUUAACUGAUAGACUGCAUUUGAAACUGUGGUGCUUGAGUGGAGCAGAGGCAGGCGGAAUUCCCGGUGUAGCGGUGAAAUGCGUAGAGAUCGGGAGGAACACCAGUGGCGAAAGCGGCCUGCUGGGCUUUAACUGACGCUGAGGCACGAAAGCAUGGGUAGCAAACAGGAUUAGAUACC